GGCUAGACAACCAGCACCGGUUUCCGAAAGGAAUCAAAAGGGAAUCCGCCGGGGUCCGCCAGGGCCCCGAACCGGAACUGCCCCCGCAACUGUAGGCGGCGAGCCCCUCUCCGAAGACGCCACUGGGAGCGAUCCCGGGAAGGUCGGGGACGGGCGAUGACCCGCCAGUCAGGAGACCUGCCGGCAUCGUGCAACGACC
rnacentral:ncRNA from 2 species